UGAGUACGAGCUGCUACGGCAGCGAAGUGGGUGAUGUCAUGCUUCCAAGAAAAGCCCUAUACCCGUUAAGGCAUGAUGGCCUGUACCCGAAACCGACACAGGUGGGGUGGUAGAGAAUACCGAGGGGCGCGAGGUAACUCUCUCUAAGGAACUCGGCAAAAUGGCCCCGUAACUUCGGGAGAAGGGGUGCCACCGCAAGGUGGUCGCAGUGAAGAGGCCCAGGCGACUGUUUACCAAAAACACAGGUCUCCGCAAAGUCGCAAGACGAUGUAUGGGGGCUGACGCCUGCCCAGUGCCGGAAGGUUAAGGAAGCUGGUCAGCGUAAGCGAAGCUAGCGACUGAAGCCCCGGUGAACGGCGGCCGUAACUAUAACGGUCCUAAGGUAGCGAAAUUCCUUGUCGGGUAAGUUCCGACCCGCACGAAAGGCGUAACGAUCUGGGCGCUGUCUCGGAGAGAGGCUCGGCGAAAUAGAAUUGUCUGUGAAGAUGCGGACUACGUGCACCCGGACAGAAAGACCCUAUGAAGCUUUACUGUAGCUUGGUAUUGUGCUCGGGCUCGGAAUGCGCAGGAUAGGUGGGAGGCUAUGAACCAUUGCUUGCGGGUGAUGGUGAGCCACUGGUGAGAUACCACUCUUUCCGAGCUAGAGUUCUAACAGCCACCCGUUAUCCGGGGGCUGGACAGUAUCAGGUGGGCAGUUUGACUGGGGCGGUCGCCUCCUAAAGGUAACGGAGGCGCGCAAAGGUUUGCUCAGGCUGGUUGGAAAUCAGCCGACGAGUGUAAAAGCAGAAGCAAGCUUGACUGUGAGACCUACAAGUCGAACAGGGAGGAAACUCGGCUUUAGUGAUCCGACGGUUCUGCGUGGAAGGGCCGUCGCUCAACGGAUAAAAGUUACUCUAAGGAUAACAGGCUGAUCUCCCCCAAGAGUUCACAUCGACGGGGAGGUUUGGCACCUCGAUGUCGGCUCAUCGCAACCUGGGGCUGAAGUCGGUCCCAAGGGUUGGGCUGUUCGCCCAUUAAAGCGGUACGCGAGCUGGGUUCAGAACGUCGUGAGACAGUUCGGUCCAUAUCCGGUGCAUGCGCAGGAAUAUUGAGAGGAUUUCUCCCUAGUACGAGAGGACCGGGAGGAACGCACCUCUGGUGUACCAGUUAUCGUGCCAACGGUAAACGCUGGGUAGCCAUGUGCGGAGAGGAUAACCGCUGAAAGCAUCUAAGUGGGAAGCCCACCUCAAGAUGAGUAUUCCCAUGGGGUAACCCAGUAAGGUCACGGGAAGAACACCCGUUGAUAGGCUCUACGUGGAAGCGCAGUAAUGUGUGAAGCGGAGGAGUACUAAUAGACCGAGGGC
rnacentral:rRNA from 1 species